CCAAAGUGUGUCCAAAGGAUGUCCAUGUAAAACUGUCUAUGCGAUGGACGAGACCGUAACUUUUAUUUUUGCAAGUGUCUGUGAAAGUUUGAGCGUCUAUAUUUGAGGCAAUCAGAAGCCUGUUUAUAAAAAAAACGAGCCAAUGAACACCAGGCUUUCUAAUCGACGCAUGCGCGUGCACCCGCUUGUUGGACAUGUGCAGUGGGACUGUCAAACGUUGUUUAUCAUAAUGGAUAGCGGAUUUAUAUUUUAUAGAACCAUAUGUGAGUGGCUUUACAGAAACAACCAAAGAACUUGGAGACCUUCUUAAAUGAUGUAGAGUUUGCACUGAAGGAGGGGUUCUUAAAGGAUGUAGGUCAAGAUACAUCACCCACAGCCAGUAAAUAGGUGUGCUCAUCAACAGGUCAAGAUACAUCGCCCACAGCUGGUCAAGAGGUGUGCUCAUCGGCAGGUCAAGAUCACCCCCAGCUAGUCAAGAUGUUUGGCCAUCAGCACAUAAAGAUACAUGAUCCCCUACAGCCAUUCAAGAGUUUUGCUCAUCAGAACGUCAAGAUACAUCACACACAG